rnacentral:tRNA from 1 species
GUCGCUGUCGCCAAGUGGUUAGGCAACGGUUUGCAAAACCGUCAACACCGGUUCGAUUCCGGUCAGCGACU